GAUGAAGAACGUAGCGAAAUGCGAUAAGUAAUGUGAAUUGCAGAAUUCAGUGAAUCAUCGAAUCUUUGAACGCACAUUGCGCCCAUUAGUAUUCUAGUGGGCAUGCCUGUUCGAGCGUCAUUUCAACCCUUAAGCCUAGCUUAGUAUUGGGAAUCGACUUUACUAUCGUUCCUCAAAUUCAACGGCGGAUUUAUAGCAAUCUCUGAACGUAGUAAUUUUUUUUCUCGUUUUUGAAAUACUAUAAACCUCAGCCGCUAAACCCCCAAUUUCUUAUGGUUGACCUCGGAUCAGGUAGGAAUACCCGCUGAACUUAAGCAUAUCAAUAAGCGGAGGA
rnacentral:misc_RNA from 1 species